rnacentral:rRNA from 1 species
GAUGAACGCUGGCGGCGUGCCUAAUACAUGCAAGUCGAGCGAACAGACGAGGAGCUUGCUCCUCUGACGUUAGCGGCGGACGGGUGAGUAACACGUGGAUAACCUACCUGUAAGACUGGGAUAACUUCGGGAAACCGGAGCUAAUACCGGAUAAUAUAUUGAACCGCAUGGUUCAAUAGUGAAAGACGGUUUUGCUGUCACUUAUAGAUGGAUCCGCGCCGCAUUAGCUAGUUGGUAAGGUAACGGCUUACCAAGGCGACGAUGCGUAGCCGACCUGAGAGGGUGAUCGGCCACACUGGAACUGAGACACGGUCCAGACUCCUACGGGAGGCAACAGUAGGGAAUAUUCCGCAAUGGGGGAAAGCCUGACGGAACAAAGCCGCGUGAGUGAUGAAGGUCUUCGGAUCGUAAAACUCUUUUAUGAGGGAAGAAAAAAUGGGUAAGUAACUAUGCACGUCUUGACGGUAACUAAUCAGAAAGCCACGGCUAACUACGUG